UGGGGAAUAUUGGACAAUGGGCGCAAGCCUGAUCCAGCCAUGCCGCGUGAGUGAUGAAGGCCCUAGGGUUGUAAAGCUCUUUCACCGGUGAAGAUAAUGACGGUAACCGGAGAAGAAGCCCCGGCUAACUUCGUGCCAGCAGCCGCGGUAAUACGAAGGGGGCUAGCGUUGUUCGGAUUUACUGGGCGUAAAGCGCACGUAGGCGGACUUUUAAGUCAGGGGUGAAAUCCCGGGGCUCAACCCCGGAACUGCCUUUGAUACUGGAAGUCUUGAGUAUGGUAGAGGUGAGUGGAAUUCCGAGUGUAGAGGUGAAAUUCGUAGAUAUUCGGAGGAACACCAGUGGCGAAGGCGGCUCACUGGACCAUUACUGACGCUGAGGUGCGAAAGCGAGGGGAGCGAACAGG
rnacentral:rRNA from 1 species